rnacentral:rRNA from 1 species
AGGACGAACGCUGGCGGCGUGCUUAACACAUGCAAGUCGAACGAGGCAGCAAUGCCUAGUGGCGGACGGGUGAGUAACGCGUAGGUAACCUGCCUUAUAGUGGGGGAUACCCAGCCGAAAGGUUGGCUAAUACCGCAUAAGCUCUUCUCUUGGAAUAGGGAUGAGGAAAGAUUUAUUGCUAUAAGAGGGGCCUGCGUCCGAUUAGCUAGUUGGUGAGGUAAUGGCUCACCAAGGCGACGAUCGGUAGCUGGUCUGAGAGGACGAUCAGCCACACUGGAACUGAGACACGGUCCAGACUCCUACGGGAGGCAGCAGUGGGGAAUUUUCCGCAAUGGGCGAAAGCCUGACGGAGCAACGCCGCGUGGAUGAUGAAGUCUUUCGGGACGUAAAAUCCUUUCAGCAGGGACGAAGCGAGUGACGGUACCUGCAGAAGAAGCAUCGGCUAACUACGUGCCACCAGCCGCGGUAAUACGUAGGAUGCGAGCGUUGUUCGGAAUUAUUGGGCGUAAAGCGCUGGUAGGUUGCUUGACAAGUCGCGUGUGAAAUCUUCCGGCUCAACCGGAAAAGUGCGCGCGAAACUGUCGAGCUUGAGUGCCGGAGAGGGUCGCGGAAUUCCCGGUGUAGAGGUGAAAUUCGUAGAUAUCGGGAGGAACACCAGAGGCGAAGGCGGCGACCUGGAAGGUAACUGACACUGAGCAGCGAAAGCGUGGGGAGCAAACAGGAUUAGAUACCCUGGUAGUCCACGCCGUAAACGAUGGGUGCUAGCUGUGGCGGGAGUUGACCCCUGCCGUGGCGACGCUAACGCAAUAAGCACCCCGCCUGGGGAGUACGGCCGCAAGGC